rnacentral:rRNA from 1 species
AGCGUAUACGGUGGAUGCCUUGGCAGUUAGAGGCGAUGAAGGACGUGUAAGUCUGCGAAAAGCUGUGGUGAGCCGACAAAAUGCAUUUGAGCCACAGAUGUCCGAAUGGGGAAACCCACCUGUUUACAGGUAUCGUUAACUGAAUACAUAGGUUAACGAGGCAAACGAGGGGAACUGAAACAUCUAAGUACCCUUAGGAAAAGAAAUCAACCGAGAUUCCCCUAGUAGCGGCGAGCGA